rnacentral:rRNA from 1 species
CCUACGGGUGGCAGCAGUGAGGAAUAUUGGUCAAUGGCCGGAAGGCUGAACCAGCCAUGCCGCGUGAAGGUCAGUGCCCUAUGGGCGUUAAACUUCUUUUGUGCGGGAGCAAUAAUGGUCACGUGUGGCCAGACGAGAGUACCGUACGAAUAAGCAUCGGCUAACUACGUGCCAGCAGGCGCGGUAAUACGGGGGAUGCAAGCGGUUGCCGGAUUUACUGGGUUUAAAGGGUGCGUAGGCUGUGAGGUAAGUCAGCGGUGAAAUGCCCCCGCUCAACGGGGGGAAGUGCCAUUGAUACUGCCUUGCUGGAGUGCAGAUGCGGUGGGAGGAAUGUGUGGUGUAGCGGUGAAAUGCAUAGAUAUCACACAGAACACCGAUUGCGAAGGCAUCUCACGGAUCCGCGAUUGACGCUGAUGCACGAAAGCGUGGGUAUCAAACAGGAUUAGAUACCCUUGUAGUC